GAUGAACGCUAGCGGCAGGCUUAAUACAUGCAAGUCGAGGGGUAGCAAGAUUGUAGCAAUACAAUUGUUGACGACCGGCAAACGGGUGCGGAACACGUACACAACCUUCCUACAAGUGGGGAAUAGCCCAGAGAAAUUUGGAUUAAUACCCCGUAACAUAGCGAUGUGGCAUCACAUUGCUAUUAUAGCUUCGGCGCUUGUUGAUGGGUGUGCGGCUGAUUAGAUAGUUGGCGGGGUAACGGCCCACCAAGUCCACGAUCAGUAGCUGAUGUGAGAGAAUGAUCAGCCACACGGGCACUGAGACACGGGCCCGACUCCUACGGGAGGCAGUAGUAAGGAAUAUUGGACAAUGGACGCAAGUCUGAUCCAGCCAUGCCGCGUGAAGGAUUAAGGUCCUCUGGAUUGUAAACUUCUUUUAUAAGGGACGAAAAAAGGUCUUUCUAGAUCGUCUGACGGUACCUUAUGAAUAAGCACCGGCUAACUCCGUGCCAGCCGCCGCGGUAAAAC
rnacentral:rRNA from 1 species